rnacentral:rRNA from 1 species
GAGUUUGAUCAUGGCUCAGGACGAACGCUGGCGGCGUGCCUAAUACAUGCAAGUCGAGCGGAGUUGAAUAAGUGCUUGCACUAAUUCAACUUAGCGGCGAACGGGUGAGUAACACGUAAAGAACCUGCCUCAUAGACUGGGACAACUACUGGAAACGGUAGCUAAUACCGGAUAACAUAUUUUACUGCAUGGUAAAAUAUUGAAAGUCGGUCAUGCUGACACUAUGAGAUGGCUUUGCGGUGCAUUAGCUAGUUGGUAGGGUAAAGGCCUACCAAGGCGACGAUGCAUAGCCGACCUGAGAGGGUGAUCGGCCACACUGGGACUGAGACACGGCCCAGACUCCUACGGGAGGCAGCAGUAGGGAAUCUUCCGCAAUGGACGAAAGUCUGACGGAGCAACGCCGCGUGAGUGAAGAAGGAUUUCGGUUCGUAAAACUCUGUUGUUAGGGAAGAAUGAUUGUAUAGUAACUAUAUACAGUAGAGACGUACCUAACCAGAAAGCCACG